AACCUGAGCAACAAUAAUGAAUCCAGUUUAACUUGUUUAUUGCCGACCCUCCAGUAAACUAAGUUUUUGGGGAUUUUUCAUGAACUCUAAUUCACACAACACUAAAUCAGCAAACAUCCAAAUCAUGUCUGUACUAGUCUGAUUGGUUCUGACCACAAUCGACUUUCAAGAUCAAAAUUGUCUUUUGACUUCUUGUUGAUUUAUUCACAACCAAACUAAGCUUCUGUUUAUACAUGUUUCCAAAUCAUUCAACAAACAUAAGCAACCAAAGAACUUCACUUUGCACAUAACCAGAUUGAAUUUCUACUAUAAGAUGAGAUCUGAGAAAAGAAAAGGGAAGGCUUUUACCAAGAACAGGAGCGGAGACGGCGACGGUGGGCUUGAGAAGAAGAGCCGGACGAGCGGCGGAGACAGUGGAAGCGGAGGCAGUGAAGCUAGCCAUUUUCUCUAUUUCCUUCCCCUAACGACUGAGAGACUCUUCAAUUUUGAGUUGAUUUUGUUCUGUUUGCGUUCUAUAGCAACAAAUUGGCUUUUCGGAUCAAACAUGGCGACUAAAUAUGUGGUGGAUAACAAAUCUGACCGAACCAACACAAGCCAUCUAACUUGGAUAUGCUUCUAUCCACACUC
rnacentral:lncRNA from 1 species